UACGUAGGGGGCGAGCGUUGUCCGAAUUUACUGGGCGUAAAGCGCGCGUAGGCGGACUUUUAAGUUGUGGGUGAAAUUCCGAGGCUCAACCUCGGAACUGCCUGCAAAACUGGGAGUCUUGAGGUAUGGAGAGGGAAGUGGAAUUCCUGGUGUAGCGGUGAAAUGCGUAGAUAUCAGGAGGAACACCUGUGGCGAAGGCGGCUUCCUGGCCAUAUCCUGACGCUGAGGUGCGAAAGCCAGGGUAGCGAACGGG
rnacentral:rRNA from 1 species